rnacentral:rRNA from 1 species
CAGCAGCCACGGUAAUACGUAGGGCGCAAGCGUUAUCCGGAAUUAUUGGGCGUAAAGAGCUCGUAGGCGGUUUGUCGCGUCUGCCGUGAAAGUCCGGGGCUCAACCCCGGAUCUGCGGUGGGUACGGGCAGACUAGAGUGAUGUAGGGGAGACUGGAAUUCCUGGUGUAGCGGUGAAAUGCGCAGAUACCAGGAGGAACACCGAUGGCGAAGGCAGGUCUCUGGGCAUUAACUGACGCUGAGGAGCGAAAGCAUGGGGAGCGAACAGGAUUAGAGACCCCAGUAGUCCCUGUCUCUUAUAC